UGGGGAAUAUUGCACAAUGGGCGAAAGCCUGAUGCAGCGACGCCGCGUGGAGGAAGAAGGUCUUCGGAUUGUAAACUCCUGUUGAGUGAGAAGAAAGAAGGCUGGUUAAUACCCAGUUGAGAUGACGGUAUCACUCGAGAAAGCACCGGCAAACUUCGUGCCAGCAGCCGCGGUAAUACGAAGGGUGCAAGCGUUAUUCGGAGUUAUUGGGCGUAAAGGGCGCGUAGGCGGUCUAUUAAGUCAACUGUUAAAGUACUCGGCUCAACCGAGUGGAAGCGGAUGAAACUGAUAGGCUAGAGGGUAGGAGAGAGAAGUGGAAUUCUCGGAGUAGCGGUAAAAUGCGUAGAUCUCGAGAGGAACACCGAUGGCGAAGGCAGCUUCUUGGCCUACUACUGACGCU
rnacentral:rRNA from 1 species